AAAAAGGAAGCAUGUUUGGAAGGUGCGGCUGGAUCACCUCCUUUCUAAGGAAAAAGGAAGCACGUUUAGCGUCUUAUUUAGUUUUGAGAGGUCUUGUGGGGCCUUAGCUCAGCUGGGAGAGCGCCUGCUAUGCACGCAGGAGGUCAGCGGUUCGAUCCCGCUAGGCUCCAUUAAAACAGGAUACUAACAGACGG
rnacentral:tRNA from 1 species